GAAAAGAAUGCUAAUACCGCAUAACAUAUAUUUAUCGCAUGGUAGAUAUAUCAAAGAUUUAUCGCUUAGAGAUGGACUCGCGUCCGAUUAGUUAGUUGGUGAGGUAACGGCUCACCAAGACUGCGAUCGGUAGCCGGACUGAGAGGUUGAACGGCCACAUUGGGACUGAGACACGGCCCAGACUCCUACGGGAGGCAGCAGUGGGGGAUAUUGCGCAAUGGGGGAAACCCUGACGCAGCAACGCCGCGUGAAGGAUGAAGGUCUUCGGAUUGUAAACUUCUUUUAUUAAGGACGAAGAAAGUGACGGUACUUAAUGAAUAAGCUCCGGCUAACUACGUGCCAGCAGCCGCGGUAAUACGUAGGGAGCAAGCGUUGUCCGGAUUUACUGGGUGUAAAGGGUGCGUAGGCGGCUUUGCAAGUCAGAUGUGAAAUCUAUGGGCUCAACCCAUAGCCUGCAUUUGAAACUGCAGAGCUUGAGUGAAGUAGAGGCAGGCGGAAUUCCCCGUGUAGCGGUGAAAUGCGUAGAGAUGGGGAGGAACACCAGUGGCGAAGGCGGCCUGCUGGGCUUUAACUGACGCUGAGGCACGAAAGCGUGGGUAGCAAACAGGAUUAGAUACCCUGGUAGUCCACGCUGUAAACCCUUAAUAGUAGGUGUGGGGGGUCUGACCCCUUCCGUGCC
rnacentral:rRNA from 1 species